rnacentral:lncRNA from 1 species
GGAAGGUUGAAUAGAAAUUGCAACAACAAAAUCCUAAUUCUAAUAAAACACUAACAAUGCUAAACAAGCUUUAAUCAAAUUUAGAGAAACCUCGUAGAAAUUCCAAAGAAAUAAUAAGAAAUCUUAAAAAAAUAUUAGAAUGAUUACAAACAUAUCUCAAAUAUGUCUCAAUUCAAUCUUAAUUUAAUCCUAGUUGAAAUCUUAUUGGACUUCAUUCAAACUUUAGGCCAAAAACUAAUUAAAUCUUAAAUCCUAAACAUACUCAAAUAAAAUCCUAAAUCCUAAAUCAAAUCUUGAUCAAACCCUAAUUAAACCUUAAAUCCUAAAUCAAUUCCUAAAUACAAAAUCAGACCCUAACCAAAUCCUAAAUCCUAAACCAACUUUUAAUCCUAAAUCAAAUUCUAACCAAACCCUAAAUCCUAAACCAAAUCCUAAUAUUAAAUCAAAUCCUAAUCAAAUCCUAAAUCCUAAACCAAAUCCUAAUCCUAAAUCAAAAUCUAACCAAAUCCUAACUCUAAAUCAAAUCCUAACCAAAUUCUAAUCCUAAAUCAAAUCCUAAUCAAUCCUAAACCAAAUCCUAAAUCCUAAAUCAAAUCUUAAUCAAAUCUUAACCCUAAAUCAAAUCCUAAUCAAAUUCUAAACCCUAAAUCAAAUCCUAAUCCUAAAUCAAACCCUAACCAAAUCCUAACCCUAAUCCUAAACCUUAAACCAAAUCCUAACCAAAUCCUAGUAAUUUCUACAACAGAUUAAACUUCAAUAACUAAUGAA